CUCAAGUAGGGCCCAAGCAAGCUAGGAAGGAGGAGGCAGCCAGAGUGUUCUCUGCAGCAGAAGACCCCUUGCUGCCCUGCUUAACCCAGACCAGCAUUUGUCAGUUAUAUCUGAUGUAUUGUGUGGCAGAUGUGAGGCACUACAGUGAGGCACUACCUCACUGUACUGCACUACCACACUACCGCCCCCAGUGAGGCACUACCUUGGCGUGGUUGUGGGGCUUGCGUGCUCUGAGGAAGGUGAGAGCUAUGCUAGAGGUCCAACCAUACUGGACAGGUCUCACCAGAGGAGCCAGACGAAGAGUGCCUCUCCCAUCAACAAUAUGGUGAGACGUAAUCUAUAUUGGAUCAAUUGUCACCCGGGUCAACAAGGACCGCGCCAGGUGCUGGAGUCCCUGGACAUCUGGUGGCAAGUGGGCUGCAGGACUCAGGAUCUUCAGUUGAGCAACCAGGGCUGGACCUCAAGGUUACUGGAAGAAACGUUGCUUAACCGGAAAAAAAUAUAUGAAAAAUGCCAACAAGGAAAUAAUGAUCUGUUGUUGUUGUUGUUGUUGUUGUUAAUAAAAAAUUUGUUCUGUU